UCCAAUGUGGUGUAGUGGCUAACAUUGCUGUCUUUCAAAUUGGAUUCACAGCAGCCCGGGGUUCGAUUCCCCGCAUUGGAA